rnacentral:tRNA from 1 species
AGCAUAGUCAGCUAAUUUAAGCUCUUGGGCCCAUACCCCAAAAAUGUUGGCUAAAACCAACCCAUGCUA